rnacentral:rRNA from 1 species
UACGUAGGGGGCAAGCGUUGUCCGGAUUUAUUGGGCGUAAAGAGCUCGUAGGCGGUCUGUCGCGUCGGUCGUGAAAACCUGCAGCUUAACUGUGGGCGUGCGGUCGAUACGGGCAUGACUGGAGGUUCGGCAGGGGGAGACUGGAAUUCCUGGUGUAGCGGUGAAAUGCGCAGAUAUCAGGAGGAACACCGGUGGCGAAGGCGGGUCUCUGGGCCGUUACUGACGCUGAGGAGCGAAAGCGUGGGGAGCGAACAGG